GGGCUUGAACCAUCCUCCUGCCUCAGCCUCCCGAGUAACUGGGACUACAGGCAUGUACCACCACACUGGGCUAAUUUUAAUUAAGAACCCUCAACUACCAGUUGAACUCAGUGUAUACUAGGAAAAAUGGGUAGAUUUGUUCCCUGUCCCUUUGUUUUCUUUGAGUAUGUUCCGGCUGUCAAGUUAAAAAGGUAUUCAGGGAAAAAAAAUUGUUCCCCCUUCCUCACCUUGUCAGUUAAAACAGAAAUAACUAGUGGUGACACUUUAGGUGAUAGAAUAGAAACACACACCCCACUUCUGACCACAUGGGCCACAGGCAAGUGGCUUUAAGCCCUUAGUGUGGUUAUCCAGCUUUGGGGAAGGGGGAGGAGCUAGCUUCUACUUUCCUCCUGAGAAGCUUGGGGUUUUGUAGGGGGUAAAGGAAAGCAGUUCACUUGGUCUGGUCCUCCUUUUGUCCCCAGUUGCACUGAGGCUGAUAUUGAAAGAUGACAUUUCUUUUUGCCCAGUGCUUUCUGAUAUUUCUAAAUAUUGCAGUCUUGGUUUUUAGUAUUGGAUUCGUUAAUUGUCAGUUCUAGCUUUCUUGCAUGAAAAGUUCAUUAGCUUACCAAUUUGAAGUUUCUAACUGAUUUUUGUCCAUUGAAAGUUUUGGAUUUCAUUUGUUUUUGGUUUGUUGAGCAGUCUUACUUGGGUACAGGUAACUGACAACAACAGAGAUACUUUCUGGUCCUAGGAUUCUAAAUCUAAUCUAAAUCCUUUAUGUAUUUAUUCACAGAACUUUAAAAUCUUCUCCACACUAGGAAGGAAAUAUCCUGUUGCUUUCUAAUAUCUGCUAAAAGUUAUCUUCAGAAAAACAGAUCUUAAUAGACAUCUUCCUUUGUCAUGUAUCAUUAGCCCUUUGGCCAUUUACUUUAGGGCUCUUUGAGGGAGAGAGGGAUAGAAGAAAACCUGUCAUUUUAAGAGAAAGUGAAAGGAAUAAUUAACUGGCUCAGAGAUAGUAAUGCAGAGUUCUCAGCCCCAGAGUUAAUCUAGAACCACUUAAUAGCACUAAUAAAAAUAUUUACUUAGCAUCUGUUAUAUUUCAGGAAGUGUUCUAAGCAUUUUAUAUACAUUUCUUGUUUAAUCCAUAGGUGGCCUCUGUGAGAUAGAUAUUUUCUUCCUGUUUUCCAGAUGAAGAAACGGAGGCCCUGAAAGGAGACUUCUUGGACUGGAGACACUUGUUUAAUAAUAGCUUGUCUCUGAUAUUCCCAGUAGCUACCUCUAUGUGAGGAAAGGAUAGAAAAUGUUAAGGACAUCAUACAGGCUCCUCAUCUACAAAGUUCCCGCAGCAGUGACGCCUACAUGGAAGACUUGGAACUGCAAACAGAGGCUGGGGUCACCUUCGUGACAUCUGACGCUGUCCAACCAGAAGUUCAAUUUUUGUUCUGGGGGGAUGAAGAAGGAAACAGACUGUACUAAAAGACUAAAAUAAUUUGUCUAUACUUUG